CCGUCUGCGCACGCUCCACGUCAGUGAYGCAUCAAGACUUUCUUGUGCUUCAAUUGAUUCCUGUAUUUGCUACCUAUGCUUAAAGGAAUGGUGCCUCUMGUYGAUCCUUUCYUUCCCCGACCAUGCGGUUAGGGGGAGGACAUUGUAGUAGCGCCUGUGCCCCUCGCAUUGAACGUGCCGUACGGCGCGSACSUUGCAUCGGUUCUCAGGUUGUUACUUGUUGCCUUCRUAUACAGAACAUUCGGUGGGNUUCGGUGGUCUUGNCCCCUUUGAUGUCCAAAUUCGAGCGUUUUGUCGCUAGACAUGUACRACUGUCAUGCCCGYYGCGGGUCUCCCGCUCGGUGCUUGGCGUCGGCAAAGGAAUGCUACCUGGUURAUCCUGCCAGUAGUCAUAUGCUUGUCUCAAARAUUAAGCCAUGCAUG
rnacentral:misc_RNA from 1 species